AGCGGAAGUGUUCCCAGACAGUUUCGAUGCCUGCCUCGGCAUGCCCAGCAAUUAUGUGACUACCGAGAGCGAGGCCUCUUUACACAUUACUAUUACUACCACCAAUACUACCAAUAGUAGUUAUAAAGCCUAACUCAUAUAUAUCCAGAUUACCAUCUAUGUUCUUCCUCCAAACCUAUUUUAUGAUUCAGAUUACAGGCAGUUCUUUAGGACUGCUCUCAAAUAAUUGAAAUGUUACUAAACAAGGUUAUACUUAUCAAAUUAAAUAGCUCUGGUCUCCAGUAUAUUGGCGAAUUCAGUUCGUUGUACUUAAUUUAUUAGCAUGAUUUCUUUUUAAUAUGUUGUGUACAGACUUAAUUACUUCUCUGUCUACUUUUCUUACUCCAUGUAGGUUUCCCAGAGACUAUGGGUUGAGGAGGAAUUGGAAGUUUGUCGGCUUAGACCUGGUGUCAUUCCAUCAGUGUUAAACUUCCCGGCUCAUCUUGGAAGAGUACGUGCCAGAAAGACCACGACCAAGCAGCCUUGAGAUCUUAGACAGCGUCUCCCUGAGACCAAAGAACUACAGACUCUUCACAACCUGCUCAAACUCUUGGUACAGGACCUCACCACAUGGGUCAAGAAGGUUUCCAUCUCAUUUCUACUCUGAAGCUCACCUUCUCCUGCUCAAACUGCUGACAGAUGUUUCUGCUGCUCUAAAGUCUGGUCUCCAGAACUUCCUAAAAACUCUCAAAGUCUCUUCUGCUGCAGGUUGCUUUGUAGAACUGUUCCAGAAAACCUCACUAAACCACAUGGAGGGGCCUCAAGAUAGUCGUCCAAAUGAAACCAUACAAAAACCAAACUAGCACAACCCAAACUCUAAAGUCUCCUGCAGCCUACCAGAGAACCUCUGAGAACAGAGAAUCAGGACAGGAACUCUUACCUUCUGGACAACCAACGCUGUUCACAAACAAGAAUACAGGAUGUGUCUGACCAAAAACCUCUGAAGACUCACUACAGCCAAGAUAAAGACACAACUCAGCUGUACCAAAUCCACUAAUCACUGCACACAUUAGCACCAUGUGCUAACUGUGGCUAAAGAACCACAUUUACCAAGACAACUAUCCAGUACAAAGCCCUAAAACACACCAAGAAACACAUUAAAGAUGAUUUUACUGCUGGAAGCUGCAAGCCAACGCCUAAAGAACAAGCUAAAGCAACGGAACCAAACCCAGUUCAGUGGUGAAGAGAAGCAGAGGAAAUGUUUGGCUGCAGCUAAAUAAAGCAGGAAGACACUGAGCUGCUCAGGUGUUCCUGAUAACACCAAGCAGCUACCUGGACAGCCAAUAGGAACACAGCUUCCUGGAAGUCCAGAGGGCUGGCUUAGUGAAGGAAAUUUAAUUUAAAGUUGAAGCAGAAAGUUAACAAAGAAAGUUGAAAACCACCUUCUGAUCCCUGAAAUCUCUGAGUUUUCACACAAAGAACACCUGAACAUGUCAAACUGGUUCCAUAGUAGAACCAUCAUUGUAAAAACGUCAUAGUAUGGUGUGUUGCUCAAAAACAUUAGGACCCAGCUGUCAGGGGACAAACAUGUAAGAACCAUGAGAACAGAGAGAAUCCAACCAGUAGGUCACAGUUUAUCAUCAUCUAAUCAUCUCCUGAAGUCCAUAUGGUGAGAGACAUCAGUAUCUGGUUGUUAAUUUACCAGAGGAUGCUUAUAAUCAUGCUGAUGUGGUCUGUACUCUACAGUAUUUUAGUGACUCAAUAAAUGCCUAAGUUGUUUUUUUUUUAAAAUGCUUUUUAGUUUUUAAUAAACAUUUAAUAGCCUAUAUGUAAUCAAUAAAUGGCCUUUGCCUAUCUUUUUUUUUUUUUUAAGUUAUUUUUUUGGCCUAUUUUCGGCUUUAUUUUAGGCGCAGUGAGAGAGACAGGAAACAGGGGAGUUUAAAAUGAUGCCACCUCUUUUCAGACAGAACCUGUGAUAAUAAAACAAUACAACAUUUUUAGUUCCGUGUUAAUAAAGCACUUAAAGCUUUAAGUAUGGCUAAAUGCUUUUUUCAAAAUUAAAUAUAUCACUCCUUAGGCGGUAGUGGCCCCAAGUUCAGUAAAGUUGGAAAGAUAUUCACAGAUUCGGACUCCCAGCAUCAGUAACUCAUUAGAUAUAGGUUGUCAAAACAUAAACGGUGCCUCUUUCCCAUUGUUGCAAGGCAGACAAUGUGCUACAAGCCCAGUUUUAUCAAAAGUAGCUGUCUUUCAAGCUACAGGAAUAACAUUGGUGUCUAUGGAGUGAACAGGGUCCGUCUGCAAUUUGCAAAACCACUGCAACAGUAAAGAGAGACAAAUAUUCAAUAACUUCACUCUUAUACAUUGUAGUGUCACUAAAAUCACUGCAGCCUUCAACUGGCUCCUGUUGACAAAGUGUUUUAACAGAAAUGUAAAUGCUGUAAUUUGAUUCUUUUAAUGAACCAUGUAACUUGAAUGGAUGUGAUGCUGGUGUGACCACAGUGCACACGUCUGAUGUUGCUCACAGUGGUCCAAGGGACGCUCAGGGAGUUUGUGUGUUUGCUCAGACUCAUGGAAAAUUAGAGGGAACAUUGCUGGGUAUCACGUCAAACUGUAUCCAAACCUCUUCAGGAUGGUCAAAAAAUAUCUCCACAUGCCAGCAACAUCUGUGCCAUGUGAGCGGGUCUUCUCCAAAGCUGGAGAGGUCGUCAGUCACAAAAGAAACAGACUGAAACCAUGCACUCUAGUUUACAACCCAUUUAUACUGCCACAAUGGCAAACUUGCAGAAGCACUACCAUUCACUUCCACAUCACAUAAUACUUGUGUCCCACACAAAGUAGCACAAGCACUUUCCUGUCCUCCAGUACCUCUAUACACACCAUAUGUAUGUAUAUCUAUACACAUACACACACAUUUAAAUAUAUAUACAUAUAUUUAUAUACAAAAACACAUAUACAUGCAUGCAAACAAACAUAUAUAACGUUUUAAAAAGUUUAUUGCAAGUACAAAGCAGUGUGAGACCAGCAGUCCUGGGGCUUUUUCAGUUUUUUCCGCUUAGAUGCAGUUCUGACACAGAGCCAGCAGAUGUCACUCUUCUGGUUGUGUCAAACGCUUCGAAGCAGUGUGUCGUUCUUGAAGCAGUGUGUCGUUCUUGAAGCAGUGUGUCGUUCUUGAAGCAGUGUGUCAAAGUGGUUCACUGCUUCAUGAAGCUUCGAUUUCACCACUACUAGUUGUACCUGACAGCGACAGUUUCCUUUAAGUUAGCCGCAGUUAGCUUCGGCUACACGGACGCUCAGUGGCGCCGUCUAACCGCCAGGAGGCUGAAUUUAAUCAGACAAACACACCAAAACAUCACCACCCUCCUCUGGACGAGUUAGCAGUUAGCAGUCGGCUAAAGUCCAGCAUCUUUAUUUACCUUCUUCUUCUUCUUCGGGUCUGAUUUGCGGAGCAGCGACCGCAGCAGAGGCGCUGCUGCCCCCACAGGCCGCUCAUAGAAUUAUACAUUUACAGUUAAAUCCUGCUGCAGAUUCUGUUGCUUCACGAUUAUUAGAUGGUUGAUUGAUUGAUUCAAACUUUUUUAAAAAAAAUCAUAAACUCUGGAUAUUUUCAAUUAUGCCUGUGAAAUGUUGUUGUGAUAUAUCCAAUACUUUCUAAGAUAAAUUGGUUAAAAAUUGCCCAUUUUAGCAUUUUUUUCCCCUUACAUUGAAAUCUGAGUCUGUUUGAACAACAAUAUCUGAGGAACUAUUAAAGACAAAAACCUGAAAUUUUCUCUCUUAUUUCCCAUCAUGUCACUGAUUUAGAAUCUGGAAUAUUGGACAGUAGAUCAAUAAUCUCUGAUUAGAGUUGAAAUAUGAAAAAACAGAUUUCAGGUAAUUUGAGACAACUUUGAAUCACUUUUUUGUGCAAAUUUGUGCCGUUUUAUUCACAUAUUUGGUGUCAUUUUGGACACUAUGAGUAAUUUUGGAAAGUUUCAAGUCACGAACGACAAGAAACACAUAAUUUUAUCUCUGAUUUUCCUGAUUUGUAUGAUAAAAUAUGGAUUUUUAUUUUUUAAAAAAUUGAAAUUAGAUUUGUUUUAUAGUAUGUUUUUUUCACAUUAAAUCUGUUUGAACAACAACAUCUGAGGAACUGUUAAAGAUAAAAACCUGACAUUUUCUCUCUUAUUUCUCAUCAUGUCAUUGAUUCAUAAUCUGAAAUAUUGAACAAAUAGAUCAAACAAUCUCUGAUUAUGGCUGAAUUGAAAUAUGAAAAACAAACUGUCUUGAAAAGUCAAAUUUUUGAGCUCAUUCAUUUAAAAAAAUGAUAAACAGAAGUGAACUGGUGAUAUUUUAUGUAGCUGCAGGUCACAAUAAUACAAAACUAAACAUGUAGAACACUUUAAAUAUGAAAUAUUUGGUCCAAAAAAUGAAAAGUUAUUUUCAUUUAAGUUUGAGCAGGUUUGACAAAGUUGUAGCAUAAAAACAAAACAUAAAAUAUUGCCAAAUCCAAGUAGAACAGAGUUCAGAGGUUUAACAAUUGUUCUUCAAAUGUAAAUAAGAAAAUAAUUUGCAGUUUGUAGGCUGGAGAAACACAGUUACCAGUUAGACUUAUGAUUUAUGUACUUAUUGGAGGAGAUGCUUGAAGGUAGAGUUCCUGUAAAUUUACAGUUUUUUAAAAACUUUUCAAGAAACUUAAAAUUAACAGAUGCCAUUUUAAAUAAUAGAUCAGAGCUGACCAAGCAGAAGGAAACUGAUGAUCUGAGAUGGAAUAGACCCAUAGUCAAACUCUGUGGAAGUAAUUCUACUUUUUAAGUGACGUGAAUUCAAAAUAAACUCCUUCUCCUUGUUUUUCUUUCUAGCAGUGUAAAAUCUGCUGUGGCAUCAGGAAGUGUCUGAGGUUGUGCUGCUGGUGUCGUCUUUGUCCUUCGUACAGAUGUAAGUACAGAUGUUCUCCUGGUUCUUUAUUAUGACGGGUUUCUUUCCACACUUUGUGCAUUUCUAAAAAUGAUCACUUUGUAGACAUUUAACACAAGAGAAGAGAAAACAAACAGAACAUAAGAAGCAGACGGUUUCUUUAGUCCUUCUUCCGUCCUUUAACUUGUGUUUGUGUCGAUAAUGGAAGUGAAUAUUUGGUGUUGACAGAAAAUAAUAAAACCCUCAUCAUUAGUGAGAAAAACCCAAACAGAGCAAACCGACUGUAAAGAUUUGAACCGUAGCGUCUCAGUGGGAGUUUCACAUCUACUAGGAAUCAUUCACUCCCUCUGUGCAGAUAUUUAUGCUUCAGUGCAGCAGAUUUACACGACCGUUCAAAAGUUUGGGGAUAAUUCCAUGAAAACUCCCACUUUUAUCCAUGUGCUAACAUAACUGCACAAGGGUUUUCUAAUCAUCAAUGAGCCUUUCAACACCAUUAGCUAACACAAUGUAGCAUUAGAACACAGGAGUGAUGGUUGCUGGAAAUGUUCCUCUGUACCUCUAUGGAGAUAUUCCAUUAAAAAUCAGCUGUUUCCAGCUACAAUAGUCAUUUACCACAUUAACAAUGUCUACACUGGAUUUAUCAUUCAUUUAAUGUUAUCUUCACUGAUAAAAAAUGCUUUUCUUUCAAAAAAUAAGGACAUUUCUAAGUGACCCCAAAUUUUGAACAGUAGUGUAUCUGUUGACAAAAUCAGGAAUAAAACAAAAGACUCUACUAUAAAUUAAAGAUGAAUCUCAUUCUAUAAAGCACAAUAUUGAAACAGUUGUUCCAAAGUACUGAUCAUAUUUUAUUGGUGUCAUUAAACCCAUCUUUUAAAACAGUCUUUAUUUUCUAUACGUUGUCCUACCUUUAAUUACACGUCUGCCACUGUUUCCUUCACUUUCGUCUAAAUCUGUCACAAUUUUGUCAGUUUUUAUGUCAAACUCUCCACUAAAAUACAAUUUAAAGAUUCUUAUUAAUCUAAAAUAUCACUGCAAUGACAGUAAAAUAUUAGUAUUUU